rnacentral:pre_miRNA from 1 species
AUCACCUGGGAAUCUUGUUAAAAUGCAGAUUCUGAAUCAACAGGGGUGAGUCCUGAUAUCCUGCAUUUCUAGCCAGUUCCCAUGUGACGAUAA